GCCUAGCCGUAAACAAUUAACUUACACUAAUAAACGCCAGGGAACUACGAGCUAUGCUUAAAACCCAAAGGACUUGACGGUGUCCCAUACCAACUAGAGGAGCCUGUUCUAUAAUCGAUGAUCCCCGCUAUACCUAACCAUCCCUUGCUUUAUCAGCCUGUAUACCUCCGUCAUAAGCCUACCAUGUGAACGUCAACAGNGGGCCUAAUGGUUAUNCAACCAAAAUGCCAGGUCAAGGUGCAGCUCACGGAAUGGUAAGUAAUGGGCUACAAUUUCUAAUCUAGAACAAACGGAAAGCUAUGUGAAAUCACAGCCUAAAGGUGGAUUUAGUAGUAAAAAGAAAAUAGAGUGUUNUUUUUAACCCGGCCCUGGGACACGUACACACCGCCCGUCACCCUNUGCNGUCAA
rnacentral:rRNA from 1 species